GGAGAAGAAGAUUGCACAAAGGAGGAAUGUAGGCCCAGUGUGCAAAGUUUGAAAAAUAUGAUUCCAAAUUAUGGGUAUGCCAUUUCCUUUUUGAAGACCAAGCUCAAGUGGGAUGAAAUUAGUUAUUUGGAAAGUAGAUCCCAAAUGAUUGUA